rnacentral:rRNA from 1 species
UACGUAGGGGGCAAGCGUUGUCCGGAAUCAUUGGGCGUAAAGCGCGUGUAGGCGGUUCGGUAAGUCUGCUGUGAAAGUCCAGGGCUCAACCCUGGGAUGCCGGUGGAUACUGUCGGACUAGAGUACGGAAGAGGCGAGUGGAAUUCCCGGUGUAGCGGUGAGAUGCGCAGAUAUCGGGAGGAACACCAAUUGCGAAGGCAGCUCGCUGGGACGUCACUGACGCUGAGACGCGAAAGCGUGGGGAGCAAACAGG